rnacentral:snRNA from 1 species
GUGCUCGCUUUGGCAGCACAUAUACUAAACUUGGAACCAUACAGAGAUUAGCAUGGCCCCUAUGCAAGAAUGACACACAAAUUUGUGAAGCGCUCCAUAUUUUU